CUUCUGCUCCUUGUCUCCCGGAGGCUCCCUGCCCUCAGCAAUAGAAGAAUAAAAGUUGUUGAGAAGUCACUCUGGCAAUCCCCUGCCCACCAAGAACAGGCGCUAUCAAGAGUGGAUAUUGCAGAAACGCUUCCUCUCCCUACAAACCUUCCAGGGUAAGCCCGAGACUGAGUAAUUUAUGCAGAGAAGAGGUUUAUUUGGCUCGCAGUUUUGCAGACUGUACAAGAAACACAAGAAGCGUGGCACCAGCAUCUGCUUCUGAUGAGGCCUCAGGAAGCUUUUACUCAUGGCAGAAGGUGAAGGGGAGUCUGGGUGUCACAUGGUGAGAGAGGGAGCAAGAGAGC
rnacentral:lncRNA from 10 species